UGGUGAAGAGGUGCCAACGUAUUUCACGCAUCGAACUUGUGGAACUUCCUUAAUUGUCCCUUUAUCUUAGAGAUUUCUUUCUCAUUAUUUUCUGAGGUUUAAGGCCUGCAUCAUUCUUGAACCUGCAUCUGAAUUCGAAGAUUUUCAUCCAUAUAUCAUUAUACACUGGAAAUUCAGAGGCGUAAAAGAUAUUCUUCGCAGUAUGAUUACCGUAAACUCAGUUAAGAUGAAUCACAUGGUCGUGUUUGACUUUUAUAUCUGCAAUCAAGAAGAAAAUUCAUCUGAACUGGACUGUGACAAUGUGGAAUUUGAGUUCGAAUUCCAUAGUGGUAUCUGUCGCUGCUACGACGAGAUAUUAGGCACUAAAUACCGCAACACACAAACUUGUCCCAUUUUACUCCGUCGGAUAAAAGGAUGCGGUAUACGAAUUUUGGAAACAGAGUACAAUCACCAUUCUAGAGAAAGUGAUGCAGAGAGUGAGAUAAGCAAGAAGCAAAAGAAGCGAAUGAAGGUAAGUUUAAAUAACUUCAAACUUUCAAAAAUCUUUGUUGAAUAACUGAAUAACUAUUAGCAUUAAAAAAAAUUGAAUUGGAUCAAGGUUCCAUAAAUAAUCUUAAAACAUUGAAAUUCUAGUUUUUACUAGAUUUAAUAAAUUUGGUUAUUGGUUUAUUGUGAUGCAGAUGACAGUUACAACAUCUCGAAAACCUUCCAACUUACCUGUAGUGGGCAAAAAAAUAUCGGUUCUUAAUCUUGAGCUUUCAUUAGGUCUUGGUGGAGUUUCGAGCAACUUUCAUGGGGAUGAAACAUUGAUGGAUCAUUCACUUUGUCUUUCUUGUCCAU
rnacentral:lncRNA from 1 species